AGGAGUGUAGCUCAACUAGGUUAGAGCGCCGGUCUCCAAAACCGGAGGUUGCGGGUUCGAUUCCCUCCACUCCUG
rnacentral:tRNA from 2 species